GAGACAGUAGCUCAGUUGGUAGAGCGACUGAGGAAUGGCCGUAAUUUGCCCCUCAGCAGGUCAUAGGUUCGAGUCCUAUCUGUUUCU
rnacentral:tRNA from 1 species